AUCCCUUUGUAGUUCAUAAGCAUGAUGAUCAGGUUUUCAGGCACAUGUGUGCGAUGUGUCUCCCUCAAACUUUGUUAGGAUGCCAGCAAGCUACCCAUCAGACU
rnacentral:snoRNA from 13 species